UAUUGGAGUUCGAUUAAGCCAUGCGAGUCUAGAGGCCUAGCCUCGGCGUACCGCUCAGUAACACGUGGGUAACCUACCCUAUGCUGGGGAAUAAGCUCGGGAAACUGAGAAUAAUACCCCAUAGUCCACUACGCCUGGAACGGUGAGUGGAUCAAAGCUCCGGCGGCAUAGGAUGGGCCUGCGGCGUAUCAGGUUGUAGGGGGUGUAAUGUACCCUCUAGCCAUCCACGCGUACGGGUGUUGGGAGACAUUGCCCGGAGAUGGAUUCUGAGACACGAAUCCAGACCCUACGGGGUGCAGCAGGCGCGAAAACUUGGCAAUGCGAGAAAUCGUGACCAGGGAACUCCAAGUGGCAGGGGUAAGACCCUGUCUUUUUCCGACUCUAAAUAGGUCGGCGCAAUAAGGGGUGGGUAAGGACGGUGCCAGCCGCCGCGGUAAUACCGGCGCCUCAAGUGGUAGUCGCUUUUAUUGGGCCUAAAACGUCCGUAGCCGGUCUGGUACAUUCGUGGGUAAAUCAACUCGCUCAACGAGUUGAAUUCUGCGAGGACGGCCAGACUUGGGACCGGGAGAGGUGCGGGGUACUCUCAGGGUAGGGGUAAAAUCCCGUCAUCCUGAGAGGACCACCUGUUGCGAAGGCUCCACACUAGAACGGAUCCGACGGUCAGGGACGAAGCCUAGGGGCACGAACCGGAUUAGAUACCCGGGUAGUCCUAGGUGUAAACGCUGUGGACUUGAUGUUGGGGACGCUCCGAGCGUUCUCAGUGUCGAAGCGAAGGUGAUAAGUCCACUGCCUGGGGAGUACGGUCGCAAGGCUGAAACUUAAAGGAAUUGGCGGGGGAGCACCGCAACUUGAGGGUUGUGCGGUAA
rnacentral:rRNA from 1 species